rnacentral:piRNA from 1 species
UAUAAUGAGAUAUGGUGACCUCUUCUGGCC